rnacentral:piRNA from 1 species
GAUUGAUUGUGAGUAUCUGCAUCU